AGAGUUUGAUCAUGGCUCAGGACGAACGCUGGCGGCGUGCCUAAUACAUGCAAGUAGAACGCUGAAGUCUGGUGCUUGCACUAGACGGAUGAGUUGCGAACGGGUGAGUAACGCGUAGGUAACCUGCCUCAUAGCGGGGGAUAACUAUUGGAAACGAUAGCUAAUACCGCAUAACAGUAUUUACCGCAUGGUAGAUACUUAAAAGGAGCAAUUGCUUCACUAUGAGAUGGACCUGCGUUGUAUUAGCUAGUUGGUGAGGUAACGGCUCACCAAGGCUUCGAUACAUAGCCGACCUGAGAGGGUGAUCGGCCACACUGGGACUGAGACACGGCCCUGACUCCUACGGGAGGCAGCAGUAGGGAAUCUUCGGCAAUGGGGCAACCCUGACCGAGCAACGCCGCGUGAGUGAAGAAGGUUUUCGGAUCGUAAAGCUCUGUUGUAAGAGAAGAACUGUGAGAGGAGUGGAAAGUUUCUCACUUGACGGUAUCUUACCAGAAAGGGACGGCUAACUACGUGCCAGCAGCCGCGGUAAUACGUAGGUCCCGAGCGUUGUCCGGAUUUAUUGGGCGUAAAGCGAGCGCAGGCGGUUUGAUAAGUCUGAAGUAAAAGGCUGUGGCUUAACCAUAGUACGCUUUGGAAACUGUCAAACUUGAGUGCAGAAGGGGAGAGUGGAAUUCCAUGUGUAGCGGUGAAAUGCGUAGAUAUAUGGAGGAACACCGGUGGCGAAAGCGGCUCUCUGGUCUGUAACUGACGCUGAGGCUCGAAAGCGUGGGGAGCGAACAGGAUUAGAUACCCUGGUAGUCCACGCCGUAAACGAUGAGUGCUAGGUGUUGGGUCCUUUCCGGGCACUCAGUGCCGCAGCUCACGCAUUAAGCACUCCG
rnacentral:rRNA from 1 species